CCAAAUCCGGCCGAUCCGGCCACCGAUUGGACCGGGUCUUGUGUCCAAAAUCAUCUACUCGGCGAGAGCUUUCCAUAGACACCAAGAACGCCGAAAUCCAUCGAGCGGAUUGUCCGAUUUUUGCUCGGGAAGAUUUUAGCCCAUUUCGACUUUUGGGCUAGAUUUCUCGAAAACCGUGAAUCCCACAAGGAAACCGAGGCCACCAGCACGCUCCAUUCGUCGAGAGCUUCGCAACGACAUAAAUUUUGAAUUUUUCCGACACCGUUUUUCGGUAUCCUCGAUUCGCGGAAAUUCGACAGUUGACCGGGUCUGCAAAUUUCGGGCCAGACAGACCCGUUACCGGAAAAGUCUCCGAAUUGGACCGAGGUUUUGGCUAGCCCCCCAUUGUCAGACGUCCCGAGCGCGUUCCCGAAGUCGGAAUCGGCAAAGGUGAGCCGGGACAGCCUUCUUCCUCCGCCCAGCCGCCACAGUAAUUUGUCAUCAAGUUUGUGAGUAAAAUAUUAAUUUUAAUUGUAAUUUCGAUAUUAUUAUAUGUUCAGCAUGCC